rnacentral:rRNA from 1 species
GAUGAACGCUGGCGGCGUGCUUAACACAUGCAAGUCGAACGGGGAACCUUUUAUUGAAGCUUCGGCAGAUUUAGAUUGUUUCUAGUGGCGGACGGGUGAGUAACGCGUGGGUAACCUGCCUUAUACAGGGGGAUAACAGUCAGAAAUGACUGCUAAUACCGCAUAAGCGCACAGAGCUGCAUGGCUCAGUGUGAAAAACUCCGGUGGUAUAAGAUGGACCCGCGUUGGAUUAGCUAGUUGGUGAGGUAACGGCCCACCAAGGCGACGAUCCAUAGCCGGCCUGAGAGGGUGAACGGCCACAUUGGGACUGAGACACGGCCCAGACUCCUACGGGAGGCAGCAGUGGGGAAUAUUGCACAAUGGGGGAAACCCUGAUGCAGCGACGCCGCGUGAAGGAAGAAGUAUCUCGGUAUGUAAACUUCUAUCAGCAGGGAAGAA